UAGGGAAUCUUCCACAAUGGACGAAAGUCUGAUGGAGCAACGCCGCGUGAGUGAAGAAGGGUUUCGGCUCGUAAAACUCUGUUGUUAAAGAAGAACAUAUCUGAGAGUAACUGUUCAGGUAUUGACGGUAUUUAACCAGAAAGCCNCGGCUAACUACGUGCCAG
rnacentral:rRNA from 1 species